CGGUAAUACGUAGGUGGCAGCGUUGUCCGGAUUUAUUGGGCGUAAAGCGAGCGCAGGCGGUUUUUUAAGUCUGAUGUGAAAGCUUUCGGCUUAACCGGAGAAGUGCAUCGGAAACUGGGAGACUUGAGUGCAGAAGAGGACAGUGGAACUCCAUGUGUAGCGGUGGAAUGCGUAGAUAUAUGGAAGAACACCAGUGGCGAAGGCGGCUGUCUAGUCUGUAACUGACGCUGAGGCUCGAAAGCAUGGGUAGCGAACAGGAUUAGAUACCCUGGUAGUCCAUGCCGUAAACGAUGAGUGCUAAGUGUUGGAGGGUUUCCGCCCUUCAGUGCUGCAGCUAACGCAUUAAGCACUCCGCCUGGGGAGUACGACCGCAAGGUUGAAACUCAAAGGAAUUGACGGGGGCCCGCACAAGCGGUGGAGCAUGUGGUUUAAUUCGAAGCUACGCGAAGAACCUUACCAGGUCUUGACAUCUUCUGCCAAUCUUAGAGAUAAGACGUUCCCUUCGGGGACAGAAUGACAGGUGGUGCAUGGUUGUCGUCAGCUCGUGUCGUGAGAUGUUGGGUUAAGUCCCGCAACGAGCGCAACCCUUAUUAUCAGUUGCCAGCAUUCAGUUGGGCACUCUGGUGAGACUGCCGGUGACAAACCGGAGGAAGGUGGGGAUGACGUCAAAUCAUCAUGCCCCUUAUGACCUGGGCUACACACGUGCUACAAUGGACGGUACAACGAGUUGCGAAGUCGUGAGGCUAAGCUAAUCUCUUAAAGCCGUUCUCAGUUCGGAUUGUAGGCUGCAACUCGCCUACAUGAAGUUGGAAUCGCUAGUAAUCGCGGAUCAGCAUGCCGCGGUGAAUACGUUCCCGGGCCUUGUACACACCGCCCGUCACACCAUGAGAGUUUGUAACACCCAAAGCCGGUGAGAUAACC
rnacentral:rRNA from 2 species